ACAAGGAUGGAGCGGCGCGCGGGAAUGAUUUGAAUUUAUUUCAGGCAUCCAUUCGGUAAUGUGUGAGAAAAUAACGCGCUCUUUCUUCAGUGAGUCUGUUUCACCAACUACAACAAAUUCGGACAAUACUACAGCAGACAUCAUCACAACCACUGAGGAAUGAAACGCACAUCUUGAGGCCUGAGGCGGAGUAAACUGUCAUUACAUAUGGGAUCGUUGAUUAUGAAAACUGCAUCCAUCCUGGACAGUAACACUGCUACUGUAGGCAGUAAUAUGAUGCAGCUAAGACAAAGUCGUGUGGAAAGACUGGAGAUCUACAGCAGAUAAGCAUGGCAAUUCAGAUCUUGGACUCCAAAAGUGAUUUGCAGAAGACAUCUUGGAAUGCAUGGAGGUGAG